rnacentral:rRNA from 1 species
CUUAAGCAUAUCAAUAAGCGGAGGAAAAGAAACCAACAGGGAUUGCCCUAGUAACGGCGAGUGAAGCGGCAACAGCUCAAAUUUGAAAUCUGGUCCUCGCGGCCCGAGUUGUAAUUUGUAGAGGAUGCUUUUGGACAGGUGCCUUCUGAGUUCCCUGGAACGGGACGCCAGAGAGGGUGAGAGCCCCGUAUAGUCGGACACCUAGCCUCUGUAAAGCUCCUUCGACGAGUCGAGUAGUUUGGGAAUGCUGCUCAAAAUGGGAGGUAUAUCUCUUCUAAAGCUAAAUAUAGGCCAGAGACCGAUAGCGCACAAGUAGAGUGAUCGAAAGAUGAAAAGCACUUUGAAAAGAGGGUUAAAUAGCACGUGAAAUUGUUGAAAGGGAAGCGCUUGUGACCAGACUUGUGCCGGGCUGAUCAUCCAGUGUUCUCACUGGUGCACUCGACCCGGCUCAGGCCAGCGUCGGUUCUCGCGGGGGGAUAAAAGCUUCGGGAACGUGGCUCCUCCGGGAGUGUUAUAGCCCGUUGUUUAAUACCUCCGCGGGGACCGAGGUUCGCGCUCUGCAAGGACGCUGGCAUAAUGGUCAUCAGCGACCCGUCUUGAAACACGGACCAAGGAGUCGAGGUUUUGCGCGAGUGUUUGGGUGUAAAACCCGCACGCGUAAUGAAAGUGAACGUAGGUGAGAGCUUCGGCGCAUCAUCGACCGAUCCUGAUGUAUUCGGAUGGAUUUGAGUAAGAGCGUAUAGCCUCGGACCCGAAAGAUGGUGAACUAUGCCUGAAUAGGGUGAAGCCAGAGGAAACUCUGGUGGAGGCUCGCAGCGGUUCUGACGUGCAAAUCGAUCGUCAAAUUUGGGCAUGGGGGCGAAAGACUAAUCGAACCAUCUAGUAGCUGGUUAC